GCAUAUCCAAAAGCGGAGGAAAAGAAACCAACCGGGAUUGCCUUAGUAACGGCGAGUGAAGCGGCAAAAGCUCAAAUUUGAAAUCUGGUACCUUCGGUGCCCGAGUUGUAAUUUGGAGAGGGCAACUUUGGGGCCGUUCCUUGUCUAUGUUCCUUGGAACAGGACGUCAUAGAGGGUGAGAAUCCCGUGUGGCGAGGAGUGCGGUUCUUUGUAAAGUGCCUUCGAAGAGUCGAGUUGUUUGGGAAUGCAGCUCUAAGUGGGUGGUAAAUUCCAUCUAAAGCUAAAUAUUGGCGAGAGACCGAUAGCGAACAAGUACAGUGAUGGAAAGAUGAAAAGAACUUUGAAAAGAGAGUGAAAAAGUACGUGAAAUUGUUGAAAGGGAAGGGCAUUUGAUCAGACAUGGUGUUUUGUGCCCUCUGCUCCUUGUGGGUAGGGGAAUCUCGCAUUUCACUGGGCCAGCAUCAGUUUUGGUGGCAGGAUAAAUCCAUAGGAAUGUAGCUUGCCUCGGUAAGUAUUAUAGCCUGUGGGAAUACUGCCAGCUGGGACUGAGGACUGCGACGUAAGUCAAGGAUGCUGGCAUAAUGGUUAUAUGCCGCCCGUCUUGAAACACGG
rnacentral:rRNA from 1 species